rnacentral:rRNA from 1 species
GAGGGAGAUUGGCUGCCUGGCUCUCACGGGUACAGGGAAUUAGGGUUCGAUUCUGGAGAAGGAGCCUGAGAACGGCUACUACAUCUACGGAAGGCAGCAGGCGCGUAAUUACCCAAUCCUUACCUCUCGCCCCGUGGUGACAAGAUAUAACAACGCGGUUAUUAUCGCGAUUGUAGUGAGGGUAUUCUAAACAGAACCUAUAGUACGAUUAGAGGGCAAGUCUGGUGCCAGCAGCCGCGGUAAUUCCAGCUCUAAUAGCGUAUAUUAAAGUUGCUGCAGUUAAAAAGCUCGUAGUUGGAUUUCAAGGAUUGUAAACCUCUCCGGGGAAUACAUCCUUCGUCUUCGGUCUGUUACUGUGAGAAAAUUAGAGUGUUUCAAGCACGCUUUCGCAAGAAUACAUUAGCAUGGAAAUAACGAAUGUAUUUAGAAUCUUGGUUAAUUCUAAAUUACGAUUAUAGAGACAGUGGGGGCAUUAGUAUUUAAUUGUCAGAGGGAAUUCUUGGAUUUGUUAAGACUACGUAUGCUAUAGCAUUUGCCAGGAUGUUUUCAUAAUCAAGGACGAACGAUACGGCGAUCAAGACAAUCAGAUACUGUCGUAGUCCUAUCUAUAACUAUUGCCGACUAGGAUUGGAGUGGGCUCAACACCAUUUCAGUACCUUAUGAAAAUCAAAGUUUUGGGUUCUGGGGGAAUAUGUCCAGACUGAACUUAAGAAUUGACGAUGCACCACCAGGAUGGGCUGCGCUUAUUGACCACCGGGAACUUACAGUCGAACUGUAGAUGCGAUGAGCUUUCUUGAUCUAUGGUGUGGCAUGCGUCUUAUUGGGAGAUUGCUGUUAUCGAACACAGACUACG